ACUCAAAUGAAUUGACGGGGGCCCGCACAAGCGGUGGAGCAUGUGGAUUAAUACGUCACUAACCGUAGAACCUUACCCAGGCUUGACAUCCCGGGAACGCCGGUGAAAACCGGGGGUGCCCCGCAAGGGGAGCCCGGAGACAGGUGUUGCAUGGCUGUCGUCAGCUCGUGUCGUGAGAUGUUGGGUUAAGUCCCGCAACGAGCGCAACCCUCACCGCCUGUUGCCAGCACGCAAGGUGGGCACUCUGGCGGAACUGCCCGGGUAACCGGGAGGAAGGUGGGGACGACGUCAAGUCAGCAUGGCCCGUACGCCUGGGGCUUCACACAUGCUACAAUGGCCGGUACAGAGGGCUCCGAACCCGUGAGGGGGAGGCAAUCCCACAAAGCCGGUCUCAGUUCGGAUCGCAGGCUGCAACUCGCCUGCGUGAAGGCGGAAUCGCUAGUAACCGCCGGUCAGCUAAACGGCGGUGAAUACGUUCCCGGGCCUUGCACACACCGCCCGU
rnacentral:rRNA from 1 species